AAAUAAGAAACAAAAAUAUUGUAUUUAGUUUCGACCUAAAAUUUUGAUGAUAAUCAUCCUUAUUUA
rnacentral:tRNA from 1 species